AGCUUAUGCUCCAAUACAUCUGUUAGUCUUAAAGGUGCCCACAGGACUCUCUGUUGCUUUCAGGAGAACAAGUCACCCUAUGGGGGCGUGGGAGAACAGUGAUGUGGAAACAUCACUGGAAGGAGAAGGCAUGGCUGAGACACUGUUGUGUCCUGGGAGUGAAAUGGUGUAUAGCAGCUGCUGCAUCCAACCUCAGUGUCUGAGCAGAUAUUAGUGCUGUUCGGACUUUGACCAGAAGCCAAAAUGGCCCCAGCAGCCCCAGUGGUAGAAAAGGUGCAAGACUCUGCCCCUUCACUAGUCUCAGUACCACUACAGGGAUAGAUUUUUCUCCCUAGGAUCCAGUCCAACAGGCCUUUUUCAUGUGAGUAGUUCCAUGAUGGCCUAGAGUUGGCAAAGCAUUUUGAAAUCCUUUGAUAAAAGGUGCUGUGAUGCAAAACAAAUGUCUGGAAAGAUGGGGGUUCUGUAGUGUCUCAAAGAUGGCCAAAGUUUGUGCCAUUUUUGGAGGAUCCCGAGGAAUUGGAAAAGCUGUUGCACAACUGCUGGCAUGGAAAGGAUACCGUUUGGCUAUUAUUGCUAGAAAUCUGGAAAUAGCUCAAACUACUGUGAAUCACCUUGGGGCAGGUCAUAUGGCACUUAGCUGUGAUGUAGCCAUGGAACAAGAUGUCCAAAAUACACUUGAAGAGGUGGAGAAGAAUUUAGGUCAUGUUAAUUACUUGGUUAAUGCUGCUGGAAUCAACAGGGAUGGCUUGUUGCUGAGAACCACAUCUGAAGAUAUGGUAUCCCAAAUUAACACUAAUCUUCUGGGAACGAUGUUGACAUGCAAAGCUGCUGUAAGGCAUAUGCUUCAACAACAGGGAGGUGCUAUUGUUAACAUAGGAAGUAUUGUUGGACUCAAGGGCAAUUCUGGUCAGAGUGUGUACAGUGCCAGCAAAGCAGGAUUAGUUGGAUUUUCACGCUCUCUUGCUAAAGAAGUAGCAAGAAAGAAAAUUCGAGUCAACGUGGUUGCUCCAGGCUUUGUUCACACAGAGAUGACUGCACGUUUGAAAGAAGAUCAGUUGAAGAAAACUAUUCCUCUUGGAAGAUUUGGAGAGCCUGAUGAAGUUGCACAAGCUGUUGUCUUUCUUCUGGAGUCUCCCUAUAUUACAGGGCAUAUUCUAGUUGUAGAUGGAGGCUUGCAGCUUCUAAUUUAAAUUCCACAACAGCACAUAUAAAAUGACUUGAAUGAGGGAAAAAUAAACUUGGCUGAUGAAGAUUCUGAGAAACAUAAUCAAGAACUGAUCUUAAUCACAAGAUGGCCUCUAUAACACAAUUACAGUCUCUCUCCUACUGGGUAAGUACCAUGGUUUGGGUAUUAUAGACAGUUCAAAUGCAACAAUGUGUGCAGGAUGAAUGGAGAUACACAUUGAAUAUGAAACAUUUUUAAAACUGAACUAUUACACCGUGCUAAAAGGGUCCUUCCCCCACCCCCCAGGUUUAAAUCAGCGAAGGAGAUUCCCUAAACCAAAUCUGACCCUUCUUAGAAACUUCAAAAAUCUCUUUAUUUCCAGCUCACAUCCCUAAUCUUGUCGGUCUUGUGUUAAAUUUCCAAAUUCUGUAUUUGGAUACCUUUAUAGAAAUAGCUAUGACUACUUUUGCCCAGAAAAUGACAAUUUUCUAUUUGUGUAAUAUUUAUUGAUGCUAAACCCACAUUAUGUCAGCACAACAAUCCAAAGUAAUGAUAGUACUUUUUUAUAAAUACAAAUAAAAGGUGUCAAAAUAAUGCUAGUUAAGCUAAACAAACAGUAAAUUAGCAGUCAAGAAAAACGUGGCAAAUAAGACAUACUUUACUCUAAAAUAUAGGUAGGAUAUUUCUAUAUGACAGACUGUAUGAUAUUAAUUUAGAUAAGUAGUGCCUGUAACUGUGGUCAUAACCUGCACCAAUCUGCAUAGAAUAGUACUAUCUUCUGUGCUAAAGUUUAGUCACUAAAAAAAACUUGGUUUGUAUACUUACAAAGAGGUAUGAAACAAUAUAUGUAUAGCAGUAAUGCAAAAUAUAUGGUAGUACACAAACAAUAAACUAAUAAUGGACUUGAAUAACUGAGCUGAGAUAGAUUUCAACACUUUUUAUUAUAAAUAAUGAACGAUAACCAUAUGUGCUUCAUGUAAGGAAUACAGCAUGUUCCUUUUAUAUCAAAGACUCUCGUACCAUCAAUACCUCAAUUUUUUCCCCAUUAGGCCCAAUUAAAAUUCUUCUGCCCUCUCAACUAAACUAAUUGGUUCAGAGUCAAAACUGCCUAGUACAGUAGAGUCCAGUUUGAUGUGGAAUUGCUUUGCAUUCUGAAAGUAGCCUCUAUUCUAAAGUCUUCACCUACUGCACGCAGUCCCUAGCCACAGCAUGGUUAGUCUGUUAUCAUACACUAGGGAAGAAAACAAAUAUUUAUCAUUCACCACCUACACAUGUUGUCUUAAGAAAAUAAUAUAAUGGCACAUCUGUUUUUCUCCACCUUCAUUCUACUAGCCUACCCCCUAUGAUAUGUACUUGUCAUUUAAACUCCGAUUGCAGACUCAGUCCAUUUUUUCCACUUGCUCUACAUUCCUAAAAUCCUCAUACAUAUUCACAAGCUCUACACAAUCAUAAAUGUCCACUACAUAAACUCCAUAGCUUUCUGCUGAUCUGGGAAUUUCAAAUGUGUGAAUGGCAGUGUUCUGUUAGUUUUCAGGAUCUGUUU